GGGGGGGGGGGGGGGGGGGGGGGGGAGGGGGGGGGGGAGGGGAGGGGGCCGGCGGGUGUGGGGGGCGCGGGGGGCGAACGGGGGGGGAACAGGUGAGUGGCCUGCCCUUGACUUGGGGAUAACUUGGGGAAACUUGGGCUAAUACCGGAUAGGAGCUCCUGCUGCAUGGUUGGGGUUGGAAAGUUUCGGCGGUUGGGGAUGGACUCGCGGCUUAUCAGCGUGUUGGUUGGGUAGUGGCUUACCAAGGCUGUGACGGGGAGCCGGCCUGCGAGGGUGACCGGCCACAUUGGGACUGAGAUACGGCCCAGACUCCUACGGGAGGCAGCAGUGGGGAAUAUUGCACAAUGGGCGGAAGCCUGAUGCAGCAACGCCGCGUGCGGGAUGACGGUCUUCGGGUUGUAAACCGCUUUCGCCUGUGACGAAGCGUGAGUGACGGUAAUGGGUAAAGAAGCACCGGCUAACUACGUG
rnacentral:rRNA from 1 species